rnacentral:rRNA from 1 species
CCCUUAGAUGUCCUGGGCCGCACGCGCGCUACACUGAUGCAUGCAACGAGUUUAUAACCUUGGCCUGAAAGGUCUGGGUAAUCUUUUGAACGAGCAUCGUGAUAGGGAUAGAUUAUUGCAAUUAUUAAUCUUGAACGAGGAAUUCCUAGUAAACGCAAAUCAUCAAUUUGCAUUGAUUACGUCCCUGCACUUUGUACACACCGCCCGUCGCACCUACCGAUUGAAUGGUCCGGUGAGGACUCGGGAUUUUUACCAGUUUCCUUCAUUGGGAAUUGGUGAGGAGAACUUGUCCAAACCUUAUCAUUUAGAGGAAGGUGAAGUCGUAACA